GCAGAUUCUGCAAUGACCUCUCCUGUUUUAAACCCUGGCUUUUCAACCAGUCUCUGCCAGAUCGUCCGUUCACCCAAGUGAUACCCAAUUCAGUUCUGAAAGCCCAGCCUGGCCUGAGCCGAAUAAUUUUUUUGGACCAGCCUCUUGCCUGUCUGCCCGUAUUCAGCCCCAGUCUCACAGAGGAUUUAAAAGGACCUUUCUUACCUAUUGUUCAAUAAAACCUCUGUACCUGUUUCUAA